rnacentral:rRNA from 1 species
ACGAACGCUGGCGGCGUGCUUAACACAUGCAAGUCGAACGGAAAGGCCCUGCUUGCAGGGUACUCGAGUGGCGAACGGGUGAGUAACACGUGGGUGAUCUGCCCUGCACUUCGGGAUAAGCCUGGGAAACUGGGUCUAAUACCGGAUAGGAGCCAUUUUUAGUGUGAUGGUUGGAAAGUUUUUUCGGUGUAGGAUGAGCUCGCGGCCUAUCAGCUUGUUGGUGGGGUAAUGGCCUACCAAGGCGGCGACGGGUAGCCGGCCUGAGGGGGUGGACGGCCACAUUGGGACUGAGAUGAGGCCCAGGCUCCGACGGGAGGCAGCAGUGGGGAAUAUUGCACAAUGGGCGCAAGCCGGAUGCAGCGACGCCGCGUGGGGGAUGACGGCCUUCGGGUUGUAAACUCCUUUCGCUAGGGACGAAGCUUUUUGUGACGGUACCUAGAUAAGAAGCACCGGCUAACUACGUG